AUAAGCGGAGGAAAAGAAACCAACAGGGAUUACCUCAGUAACGGCGAGUGAAGCGGUAACAGCUCAAAUUUGAAAGCUAGCUCUUCUAGGGUUCGCAUUGUAAUUUGUAGAAGAUGCUUCGGGUGUGGCCCCGGUCUAAGUUCCUUGGAACAGGACGUCAUAGAGGGUGAGAAUCCCGUAUGUGACUGGGUGCUUUCGCUCAUGUGAAGCUCUUUCGACGAGUCGAGUUGUUUGGGAAUGCAGCUCAAAAUGGGUGGUAAAUUUCAUCUAAAGCUAAAUAUUGGCCAGAGACCGAUAGCGCACAAGUAGAGUGAUCGAAAGAUGAAAAGCACUUUGGAAAGAGAGUUAAACAGUACGUGAAAUUGUUGAAAGGGAAGCGCUUGCAACCAGACUUGCGCGCUGAUGAUCAUCCGGGCUUCUGCCCGGUGCACUCGUCUGCGCUCAGGCCAGCAUCGGUUUCGGUGGUGGGAUAAAGGCCUUGGGAAUGUAGCUUCUUUCGGGGAGUGUUAUAGCCCUCGGUGCAAUGCCGCCUACCGGGACCGAGGACCGCGCUUCGGCUAGGAUGCUGGCGUAAUGGUUGUAAGCGACCCGUCUUGAAACACGGACCAAGGAGUCUAACAUCUAUGCGAGUGUUUGGGUGUCAAACCCAUACGCGUAAUGAAAGUGAACGGAGGUGAGAACCCUUAAGGGUGCAUCAUCGACCGAUCCUGAUGUCUUCGGAUGGAUUUGAGUAAGAGCAUAGCUGUUGGGACCCGAAAGAUGGUGAACUAUGCGUGAAUAGGGUGAAGCCAGAGGAAACUCUGGUGGAGGCUCGCAGCGGUUCUGACGUGCAAAUCGAUCGUCAAAUUUGCGUAUAGGGGCGAAAGACUAAUCGAACCAUCUAGUAG
rnacentral:rRNA from 1 species